CCUACGGGAGGCAGCAGUGAGGAAUAUUGGUCAAUGGACGAGAGUCUGAACCAGCCAAGUAGCGUGAAGGAUGACUGCCCUAUGGGUUGUAAACUUCUUUUAUAUGGGAAUAAAAUGUUCCACGUGUGGGAUUUUGUAUGUACCAUAUGAAUAAGGAUCGGCUAACUCCGUGCCAGCAGCCGCGGUAAUACGGAGGAUCCGAGCGUUAUCCGGAUUUAUUGGGUUUAAAGGGAGCGUAGGUGGAUUGUUAAGUCAGUUGUGAAAGUUUGCGGCUCAACCGGAAAAUUGCAGUUGAAACUGGCAGUCUUGAGUACAGUAGAGGUGGGCGGAGUUCGUGGUGUAGCGGUGAAAUGCUUAGAUAUCACGAAGAACUCCGAUUGCGAAGGCAGUUCACUGGACUGCAACUGACACUGAGGCUCGAAAGUGUGGGUAUCAAACAGGAUUAGAUACCCUAGUAGUC
rnacentral:rRNA from 1 species